CAGGCCCCAUCAAACUCUGCUUGGUUAGGGCCCCUUCUCAUAUUCUUUCUAAUCCAGACAAACCAGGCAGACCCAUGUGAGUCUAGCUGCAUGAGGGGUUCAGGUACCUCUCACUAUUUUUAAGCCUUUACUUAUAUGCCUGCAACCUGCUACCAGGGAAAGAAACCAACAACCUGUAUAGUUACCUCCAGGAUUAAAGAACUCAGGGAUCAGAUUCAAGCAUGGCGGCGAGACACGUCUUCCUGGGGCCUGGACCCCUACACCUGGGGUCGCCUACAAGA